ACCCACCUGAAAUUUGCCUCAUGAAAAUGAACUGCUGUUCCCAAAGAAUGUCAGUAGGUGGCACUAUGAGAUUGUUUAGUGCUUGUGAACUUGAGUUGAUACAGAGAAGGAGAAUAGCGCUAAGGCUACGUAUGUUGGUCGGAGCUACUCACCGAGAGUUCUUUAAUCCUUGUUCAAGAAAAAGGUUAUGUGUGAAGACACAAAUUGGAUUUCACUCUUCCGCUUGUUGGGAAACGCGGACACUUUUUGUUGAUGCCGAUGUACCUCUGUUUUUGUGGUUUUUGUUCAUUUCCGGUUGGUUUUUUUGUUGGAGUCUAAAGUUGCGAGCCAGGAUUCCGGAUCCCCAGCUGCAAUGCAGGAAAGGUUUCCAGCCUACUUAGAAGUGACAACUGCGUUACUUCUUGACAGAUAAGCUUAUGAGAUCUCAGAACAAUACACUACCCGGGUAGUACUACUAACAUUAACACUACACACACUCACACACCUGAACUGAAAAGACUGAAAAGAACUCUGAACUCUGAACUCUAAACUGAAUACACGGACUGACAAAUAUGGACUAUUGGAACUGUUGUGAACUGUUGAAUGACUGUUUUUGUUUUUGUUUUGAAUAAAUGUUGACUGUUCUUUUAGCUGUGUGUCAUUCGCUCCUUAGUCGAUUCCUAGAGAACAUAAGCCCAAGAUCCUAACUUUCUCUACAUUCAGUAGUGGUAAAGUAUCGUGUGUUACAUAGUAUCCUUUUGUGGCGAGCCAGCCAGGAGCGAUUAAGACACAGCUAAUAUUGAAAUUACAGCAUUCUGCAAUAGUAUUGUUAAUUGUGAAAUUGUGAUUUAUUGUGAUAAGCUUUCAAUUAAGACAACAUUGAAAAGUGAUGGAUUUAGCACAGAACUACGGGGUGGAUUUUAAACGGUCCAUCAGUAUUACUGGAGUUACUAGUCUAGAUUCUGAUGCUGAUAUCAUUGCUUCCUUGGAGAAGUAUGGGGUGGUAACAAGGAUUCUGAGGGUCCCAAAUGCACAACCAGAGUGUGGGGAAACUGUUAUUGCUGAGUUUGAGUCAGAGAUUACAAUGGGGGAUAACGAGUCAGAUUUUCCCCUUGAGAUUGAAAAUGUGACCAACAAGAAUGUAAAAUGGCAGGCUAGUCGCAUUGGAAUGCCAGCACUCCAUCAAACUCCAGAGCCAGAUCCUGUUUUGUCUGACUCAAGUGAUGAAAAUGUUGACAGUUAUUCUGACCACAGUACUACACCCUUGAUAAAGACAGCAAAGCUAAAGUACGACCACCGACGGCCCCUUACAUCCCAGCCAGUCACCCAUUCAGCCAAAUCUCAGACUUGUAGAGUUGUUAAACCAAAGACUACUCCAACCAAACUUCCAGUGGUGACAGAUGAAGUAACUAACCCACCAGAGAUACAGCGUAUAGUAGUGGAACAUGUAAUCAGAAAUGACUCUGUCGCUACACAUAGCCAGUCCAAAUGGUUACGCUCAUUCUCAGGCCGUGUGCCAAAACCCCCCGGAGAAGUGGAUUUUGAAACAUGGUGUUUACAUGUUGAACUAAUGUUCAGUGAUGGCACUCCAGUUGACAUUCAGCGAAGGAAAAUACUAGAGAGUCUUCUUCCCCCAGCAUCAGAUGUUGUGAAGCAACUUGGUUAUUCAGCACAUCCACGAGAAUAUGUCAGGCUGUUAGAUUCUGCAUAUGGUCUUGUUGAGGAUGGUGAGGAGAUAUUUGCAAGGUUCCUGAACACAAAUCAAAAUCCAGGUGAGAAAGCUUCUGAUUAUCUACAGAGGCUGCAAGCUCUCCUUAACACUGCUGUAAGCAGGAAUGGUGUGAUUCCAGCAGAUGCAAGCCGACAUUUGCUAAAGCAGUUCAAACGGGGUUGUUGGGACCAUAACUUGGUCCUGCAACUAGAACUAAAGAAAGAGACCACACCUGAGUUUGCAGAGCUUCUGCUAGAGCUGAGGACCGAAGAGGACAGAAGGGCUUCUAAACUGGACCGGAUGCAACGUCAAUUUGGGCCUACCAAGACAAAGCCAAUUGCGCACAUGCAUUCUGUCCCUGACUUCCCACAUCACACUGACCCAAGUGCAAGUGUAUUGCAGGCCUAUAUCUCUGAAACUGAGAGUCUAAAGAAGCAGGUUGCAGAACUGCAAUUGCAACUGAUGACAAAGCCAUCUAAAAAGCCAAGAAAGCGACAAGUUAAAGCAAUGGAAAAAACACAAGAGCCACCCGCACCUGUAAUUGAAACUCUGGUACACCAAAUUCCACCACGAACCCAAGUGAGAGCUGAGCCCAAGGCUUGGUUCUGUUUUAGGUGCGGUGAAGACGGUCACAUAGCCAGGAACUGCGAAAAUGCUAUAAACAAGGCUGUGGUUGAUCAAAAGUACAAAGAACUAAAAGCCAGACAGGAAGAAUGGAAAGCCCAGCAGCAGGGUCAAGCUUUAAACUGGAGCAGGUUCCGGUAAUGGGACAUACGGGAACCAAGAACAUUCACAAGAGUCCCAAGUCAGAACAGAGAUGUCAAAGUAAACAACAACACGCUGAAUGCAUUCCGAAUCACCUUCCAAAUAGAUUAGUCGGAUCGAGGUCUCUUGCAGAGGUUAAGAUUGGGGAACUAUCACAUAGUUGCCUCAUUGAUUCAGGGUCUCAGGUUACCACAAUUUCAAAAUCAUUUCAGUUGACCCACUUACCUUCUCAUCCUCUUUUGCCAUUAAAUGAUUUGUUAGAAAUUGAAGGUGCUGCAGGCCAAAUUGUCCCUUAUCUUGGGUACAUUGAAGUUGACAUCACCUUCCCACAGAGUUUCACAGGGAAGGACAGAGUUGUAACUAUUCUAGCUUUAAUUGUCCCAGAUCACAGAGCAAAUUCAGAAAUUCCAGUCCUCAUUGGUACAAAUGCCCUCGACGUCUUGUAUGAGGACUUCAAUGAGCAAAUGACCAUUCCUGAGCAUUGUACUUAUGCCCCUCUCCUUAGACAUCUGUAUGCUAUCUACAGGAGUAAAACAAAAACUGAUAGUUUUGUGGGGACAGUCAAGUCACAAUGUAAAACCAACAUAGUAAUUCCAGCUGGUCAGAAAAUAGCCUUAAAUGGACGUGUCAGAAAUGUCUGUGCAGGCCCUGGAUCCACUCUUCUAGUCGAGCCCCACAGCCAGUCCAGCCUACCAGGUGGCUUGAUAUUUUCCAGCUAUGUAAUGUCAAGGCCACGACAGACAUCCUUCAAAGUUCCCAUUCUCCUAAAAAACGAGACAACGCAUGAUAUUAUUCUGCCAGCUCACCGUCCUUUGGCAGAGAUAUCUGUCCCACUUUCAGUUUCUCCUGCGAGGUCUGAAUGUAUGAAUCGAACUGGAAGUUCAGAGCAGAAACAUGCUCAGUGUUACACCACCCACAAAGUAAAAUCAAGUGACAAAAUCCAGUUUGAUUUUGGUGACUCACCCCUGUCAAACGAGUGGAAAGAUAGGAUUGCUGAGAAGCUGAAUUCCGUGUCUGAUGUUUUUGCUAGGGGUGAACUUGAUUAUGGUCACACCACAGUGGUGAGACAUAAGAUUCGGCUCUCUGAUCCAACGCCUUUUAAACAGAGGCCAAGGCCCAUUCAUCCCUCUGAUUAUGAAGCUGUCCGCCUUCAUUUGGAGCAGCUGUGCGACAGCAACAUUAUUAGAGAGUCCGAGAGCCCAUUUGCUUCACCAAUUGUAGUUGUGAAAAAGAAAAAUGGGCAGAUCCGCCUAUGUGUGGAUUACAGAAAGUUGAACAACCAGACGAUCAAAGACGCUUAUGCCUUGCCCAAUAUAGAAGAGGCAUUUACAGCUCUGUCAGGAUCCAAAUGGUUUUCCGUUAUGGAUUUAAAGUCUGGAUAUUACCAGGUAGAGGUGGAAGAAGAGGAUAAACACAAGACGGCUUUUGUCACACCCAUGGGGUUUUGGGAAUUCAACAGGAUGCCCCAAGGAGUCACUAAUGCUCCAAGCACUUUUCAAAGAGUUAUGGAGAAAUGCAUGGGCUCCAUGAACCUCAAGGAAGUACUGGUCUUUAUUGAUGAUCUUAUAGUGUUCUCCAAUACUUUGGAGGAACAUGAAGAAAGGCUCCUGCGAGUUCUGAACAGAUUGAAAGAAUUUGGUCUCAAACUUUCACCUGAGAAAUGUCACUUUUUCCAAAAGUCAGUGAGGUAUUUAGGACACAUUGUCUCAGAACAGGGAGUGGAGACCGAUCCUGAUAAAAUCUCUGCACUCACCACAUGGCCCAGACCCACAAACCUGUCAGAACUGAAGUCAUUUUUAGGCUUCACCGGCUAUUAUCGCAGGUUUGUCAAAGACUAUUCUAAAAUUGCUAGGCCAUUGAAUGAUUUGACAGCUGGUUAUGUCCCUGCCAAGAAGCUGAAACACCACAAAUCAUCAUCAAACAGCGACCUGAACCGUCCUUUUAAUGAGAAAUGGACUCCCUCAUGUGAGGAAGCUUUCAAGACCCUCAUUGAGAAGUUGACAUCUGCACCAGUGCUUGGGUUUGCUGACCCCAGAAAAGCCUAUGUUUUACACACCGAUGCUAGUUCACAUGGACUUGGUGCAGCUCUAUACCAGGAAGAUGAUGGUCGGUUAAGAGUCAUCGCCUAUGCUAGCAGAGGGCUGUCUAACUGUGAAAGAAGGUACCCCACUCACAAACUUGAAUUUCUUGCGUUGAAGUGGGCAAUUACAGACAAGUUUGCUGAUUAUUUGUAUGGAGCUGACUUCACUGUCAUGACUGACAAUAACCCACUGACCUACGUGUUAACGUCUGCUAAACUUGAUGCAACUGGACAUCGAUGGCUUGCUGCUUUGUCAAAUUUCAAUUUCAACAUACAGUACAGAGCCGGUAAAAGAAAUCAGGAUGCGGAUGGAUUAUCAAGACGGCCACAUGUUUCUGUUGAAACUGAUGACAGUACAACUGCUGAGGAUGAGAGAGUAAAGCAAUUCAUUGCAAAGUUUACAGAAGAGGGAAACAGUGCAACAUUUCCAAAGGAUGCUCUAAAAGCUGUAUGCGAGAAGCACCAAGUAUACAUAUCUCCUGACACUACUUACCACUACUGCCACUACUUACCUGCUGCGGUGGAGUGUUUGGCAGUGGAUGCAAGUGCGAUACCUGACGAGUUUGUUCAAGCCGACAUGCUGACUGGUACUAGCACUCUUCCUCAACUCUCCCAACAAGAUUGGGCUGCAGAACAAAGGCGUGACCCUAUAAUAAGCAGAGUCAUAGACCUUGUCUAUACAGGAAAACGCCUUUCCUAUCGUCUUAGGCAAAAGGAGGAAAGGGAAGUCCAACUAAUGUUAAGAGUACAGGAUCAGUUGUCUCUAAUAAAUAAUGUUUUGUACCGGAAGCGAGUGAGCCAGGGCCAGACUCUUUUUCAACUAGUGCUUCCGAAGGAGUACAGAGAAGUAGCUCUUGAAAGUCUUCAUGAUGCAGUAGGUCACAUGGGAUUUGAAAGAACUGUUGACCUUGUGAGAACACGUUUCUUUUGGCCCCGAAUGUUCCUAGAUGUUGAAAUGAAAAUCAGAACAUGUGAAAGGUGCAUCCGCCGCAAGGCUAGAGCUGAGAAAUCUGCUCCACUGGUAAAUAUUAAAACCAGUCGACCACUUGAGUUGGUGUGCAUGGACUAUUUGUCUCUAGAACCUGAUAGCCGAGGAACAAAGAAUAUUCUGGUGAUAACGGAUCACUUUACGAAGUUUGCUGUUGCAGUGCCAACUCCAGACCAGAAGGAAAGGACCGUUGCCAAGGCCCUGUGGGAAAAAUUCAUCAUUCACUAUGGCAUACCAGAGCGGUUGCAUAGUGAUCAGGGCCGUAAUUUUGAAUCGGCAGUCAUCAAAAACUUAUGCCAAAUGUUAGGCAUCAAGAAAACAAGAACAACCCCCUAUCAUCCCCGUGGUAAUCCAGUAGAACGGUUUAACCGUACACUGCUAGGGAUGCUUGGAACACUCCAAGAAGACGACAAACUAAAAUGGCGUGAUCAUGUGCAGCCAUUGGCUCACGCCUACAAUUGCACAAAAAAUGACACAACUGGGUAUUCACCCUAUCAGCUCAUGUUUGGGAGACAGCCAAAUCUUCCAAUUGAUGUGGCUUUUGGACUUAAUGUGAGUAGGCAGGACAGUGUAACUCACAGUGAAUAUGUGAAGAAGCUCAGGGAAAGCCUACAGGAAAGUUACAAACUUGCUGUGGAACAUAGCGAGAAAACUGCCCUACGCAAUAAGUCAAGAUACGAUCUAAAAGUGAGAGAAUCCACCUUGGAGGUUGGAGAUCGUGUUCUUGUCAAGAAUGUUGGAAUACGAGGGAAACACAAACUAGCUGACAGAUGGAGUCAGACAGUCUACAAAGUUGUAAAACAGAUCAAUGACUCUCCUGUAUAUGUUGUUGCUCCACUCAUGUCAGAUGGGCCUGAGAGGACACUGCAUAGAGACUUACUGUUACCAUGUGGGUUUCUGUCAUGCUCAGUGCCAAACGAACCCAGUCAUGGAAGUCCAGAGAAAGAGACACCCAAAGGUGACAUCUCUAAAGAGAAUCCAUUUUCUGAAGUUGAAGGAGACUAUCAUUAUCUGGGUGAUAAUGACAUUGUGGCUUAUGACUUUCCAGUAGUUUACGAAGAAGUCAAUUACCCGGCUUUCACUACUAUCAGUGAAAUCCCCAAAGCAACUGAGUCUGUGUCAGAACAAAGUGUGGACCGAGACGAGUCUGAUCUAAACCCUGCAGUAGAGGAGUUUCAUUCUGCACCCGUGGAGCUGGAUGAGGGUGAUGGUUCACUUCACGGUUCUAGUGGAAAUGACAUUGGAAAUGACGCUCCAAUGAAAGAAACAGGUGUUAUUGUUAAUGAGGAAUAUUCAUCUGUUCACGAUUCAUGUGCUGAUAUAGAUCCAGCCACAGAAAAUGAUGUUGAACCUCUGAGAGAGGUUAUUGACGUAACUCGGGAGCAGUACCAAACUGAACCAACCGGGUUGUCGGAUGGAAAAGAGGAGAGUGAUGGAGAUGGAUUGGAGGCAGAGGUUGCUAAAGAUGAAAACCCCCCAGAAACAAGAGAAAUCAAGCGGUCAACUAGGAACAGGACUGAACCUAGCAGACUAACCUACAACACCUUGGGAAAUCCCUUAACAUUAGUGAUGCAUUCUCUUUUAAACAGUCUUGAUCAGGUUUUUUCACAUGCCCUUGACUCAAACCCUUCCCCAUGUGUUGGUAGAGUAAAAACCAUUUAAAGUGAUUGCUGUCAUGCAGGGAUGCAUGCCCAUUUAGGGGGGGAGGGAUGUAACCCACCUGAAAUUUGCCUCAUGAAAAUGAACUGCUGUUCCCAAAGAAUGUCAGUAGGUGGCACUAUGAGAUUGUUUAGUGCUUGUGAACUUGAGUUGAUACAGAGAAGGAGAAUAGCGCUAAGGCUACGUAUGUUGGUCGGAGCUACUCACCGAGAGUUCUUUAAUCCUUGUUCAAGAAAAAGGUUAUGUGUGAAGACACAAAUUGGAUUUCACUCUUCCGCUUGUUGGGAAACGCGGACACUUUUUGUUGAUGCCGAUGUACCUCUGUUUUUGUGGUUUUUGUUCAUUUCCGGUUGGUUUUUUUGUUGGAGUCUAAAGUUGCGAGCCAGGAUUCCGGAUCCCCAGCUGCAAUGCAGGAAAGGUUUCCAGCCUACUUAGAAGUGACAACUGCGUUACUUCUUGACAGAUAAGCUUAUGAGAUCUCAGAACAAUACACUACCCGGGUAGUACUACUAACAUUAACACUACACACACUCACACACCUGAACUGAAAAGACUGAAAAGAACUCUGAACUCUGAACUCUGAACUCUAAACUGAAUACACGGACUGACAAAUAUGGACUAUUGGAACUGUUGUGAACUGUUGAAUGACUGUUUUUGUUUUUGUUUUGAAUAAAUGUUGACUGUUCUUUUAGCUGUGUGUCAUUCGCUCCUUAGUCGAUUCCUAGAGAACAUAAGCCCAAGAUCCUAACUUUCUCUACAUUCAGUAGUGGUAAAGUAUCGUGUGUUACAUAUGGAAUAAGAAUACUAGCAUACAGUAAUAUACAGUAGGAUAGUGCAAAUAUAACAUCAAAUAACUCUAACGAAGUAACAAUAUAACUAUAAGUAAUAUCCUGAAAAAUAAAUAGCUUAGCUAUCAGUGCAGGUGAUUCUAAAAGUGGCAUAGUAUUGUGCAUAUGAAUAAAAGAGAGUAGCAGCAUAUGAUGGGGAGAUGAAACAAACAUUCGAUGAAAAACUGUUGGGUUAAAUUGCACAGUCUGAAUGGGAACAGAAUAAGUUUGUUAUUAAUCCUCAGGAAAAUCACAUGCAGUGCAAGGAAGAGUUGUACAGUCUUAUUGCCACCGUUUCGAAGGAUUUCCUGUGGCAGUCAGUUCUGCAUUUCGGGGCGAUGAGUCUUUUGCUGCGUGUGCUCUGAUGGUCCAUCAUGGAGGCGUGCAUGGGGUGGGAGGGGUUGUCCAUGAUACAAAGAAGUUUUUUUAGCAUUCUCCUCUCAGACACCUCCUCCAGGUUCUCCAGUCUGAGACCCAGGACAAGUCCUGGUCCUUUGCCUUUUCUUUUCUUUUCUUUUUUUCUUUUGCUACAUUUUCUGAUGGCUUCUUUAGACCACAUCCUUGUUAUCGCAGGAAGACAGCCAAAAAGCACUGAGAUCCGAACUUGCCCUACCGCUAUGGACUGAUGUUUCAGCCUUACUACAAGUUGUUCUGCAGUGUAUUAAGAAGUGUUUAAAGCUGUGUCUUCAGCCAUAAUCACUGUCUUCCACUGAAGCUGUGGAACAACUACAUCUUAAUGAUGUUUUACUUUGUUCUUUACCAAUAAUUACAAUACAGGAUUAAUUUUAAAAACAAAUUUACAAUGUAAAAGAUAUCAGUUAGUGUACUGUUGAAUAUAUUUUCAAUAAAAUCAGAAUAAUGCUUUGAUUGCUAAAUUGUUUGGUUACUUGUGUUCUGCAUUUUGUAUCAUUAAAUCAAAAACAGCUUUGUUAUGAGCUGUAAAUUAAACAAACAAAACAGGACAGAAGAAAAUAUCUGCAUUUCAUACAGAUUAUGUGCCUGGUUGAUAAGGAUGGACAAAGUUCAAAGAUUUUUAAACUCCAUAAUACUUUGGACAAAGAUGCAAUUUUUGGAGUUUACCACAGUUUUCCUCACAGUUGAUUUUAAAUCAGUGAAUAUGUGACUGAAGUGCAGGCAUCCAGCUUUCUAUGAAGGAGGUAGGACUAUCAUUGUCAAAGUCGAGGUGGAGGAAAUGUUACAUAAAUGUUUAUUCAUGGUGUGCUGCUGAUAGAAGUAGCAGGAUGAAUUCAACCCACUACUUGUAAGCUAUUGUUAAUGAAGUUUAUGAUUGCUGCGUUUUACAGUAUCACUCCUGUGUAUCUUAGCAACAGUGAUUAUUUGAUGGCAUUGGCUUCUUUUGUGAACAUAUUGCACAAGUGCAAAUGUGCACAUAAAUGAAAGUAAUAUUGAGUCCACUCAAAGUGACCUGAACUUCUCAAGAGAGCGGGGUAUUAAUUCUCUGAGCUGUGGUACUGCAAACUUUGUAAGAAGCCUUUUCUCUGAAUGAAAAAAAGCUUUUCUUGAUCUCAUUAAGACAUCUGCAGUCUAAUGGAUGAUGCUUUGUAUUUAAAGAAUCUUCAUCCAUGAAUGACAGCUUUCUUUCUUUCUCUGCAGCAUGUGGAUUACAGUGCUACAUAUGUGUAUUCUCUGACUCUCACUCCUGCACUGAGAUCUUAACUUGUCCUACUGGUAUGGACCGAUGUUUCAGCCUUACUACAAAUGGUACCGUCACUAAGGGCUGCCAAUUCCCUGACUUAUGUGUCAGUCCUGUGAGCUGCUGUGAAGGGAACUUGUGCAACAGUUCUAUACCAACUGGUCCCAGUGUUAUGUUUCUGCUGGUGUCUUCAGCCAUAAUCACUGUCUUCCUCUGAAGCUUUGGAACAACUACAUCUUAAUCAUGUUUUACUUUGUUCUUAACCAAAAAUUACAAUCAGGAAUAUUUUUUUUAAAAAUUCACAAUGUAAAAGAUGUUAGUUACUGUACUGUUGGAUAUAUUUUCAAUAUAAUCAGAAUAAUGCUUUGAAUUGUUUAAUUAAAUCAAAAACAGA